UAGGAUUAAUGUCCUGUGCCACCAUUGCCC
rnacentral:piRNA from 1 species